GAGGGUCUCAUCCGGGUGUCACAUUGGAAACUGGGUAGUUUGAGCAGAGAAGAAGAGAGGAAUUUCACACGUGUAGCUGUAAAAUGUGUAGAUGUGGAGAGGCACAACAGUGGAGAAGGACUCUCUCUGCUGUGUAACUGACUGUGAGGCGAGAAAGUGUGGAGAGCAACACAGGAUUAUAUCCCGGUAUUGUCACACGCUGUAAGAGAUGAAUUAUAGGUGUUAGGGUUUGAUAUACCUCUUGGUGCGAAGUUAACACACAUAGCGCUUUCCGCGGGGAGAGUACUGUCGCAGAGAGUAAAUCUCAAAGGAAUUGACGGGGACCCGCACAGCACAGUAGAGUAUGUUGUAUAAUUAAAAGCAACGAAAAGAACCUUCACAUGUCUUGAUAUCCUCUGUGUCCUCUAGAGAGAUAGGCGCUUUUUUGGACACAGAGGAGACAGGUGGCACAUGGUUGUUGUCAGCUCGUGUCGUGAGAUGUUGGGAUAAGUCCCGCAACGAGCGCAACCCUUUUUUUUAGUUGCCAGCAAUGGGGGUGCGCUCUAUAGAGUGACUGCCGGUCACAAACGGGAGGAAGGGGGGGAAGAUGUCAUAUCAUCAUCCCCUAUAUGACGUGGGACACACACGUACCACAAUGGGGGAUACAACGAGAAGAGAAGUCGAGAGGUGGAGCGUAUCCUAUAAAAGUCUGUCUCAUUUCGGAUCACAGGCUACAUCUCGCGUGCAAGAUGUCGGAAUUUAUUGUAAUCGGGGAUCAACAUGCCGCGGAGAAUAUGUUCCCGUGUCUUGUACACACCGCCUGUCACCCCGAGAGAGUUUACCACACCAGGUGUCUGUGAUGAACCGCAAGAGCCAGCCGCCAAGUGGUAUAC
rnacentral:rRNA from 1 species